GACGAACGCUGGCGGCGUGCUUAACACAUGCAAGUCGAACGGAAAGGCCCUGCUUGCGGGGUACUCGAGGGGACGACGGGGGAGUAACACGUGGGUAAUCUGCCCUCCACUUCGGGAUAGACCAGGACAACUGGCGCUAAUACCGGGUAGGAGCCAUUGUGGAAGGGAUGGUUGGAGAGGUUUUUCGGUGUCGGGUGGGCUUUGGGCCUAUCAGCUUUGUGGUGGUGUAAUGGCCUACCGAGGGGGCGACGGGUAGCCGGCCGGGGAGGGUGGACGGCCACAUUGGGACUGAGAUACGGCCCAGACUCCUACGGGUGGCAGCGGUGGGGAAGAUUGCACAAUGGGCGCGAGCCUGAUGCUGCGACGCCGCGGGGGGGAUGACGGCCUUGGGGUUGUAAUCGCCUUUCGCUAGGGACUAAGCUGUUUGUGACGGUACCUAGAGAAGAAGCACCGGCUAACUACGUG
rnacentral:rRNA from 1 species